CUACGGGAGGCAGCAGUGGGGAAUCUUAGACAACGGGGGCAACCCUGAUCUAGCCAUGCCGCGUGAGUGAUGAAGGCCUUAGGGUCGUAAAGCUCUUUCGCCAGGGAUGAUAAUGACAGUAUCUGGUAAAGAAACCCCGGCUAACUCCGUGCCAGCAGCCGCGGUAAUACGGAGGGGGUUAGCGUUGUUCGGAAUUACUGGGCGUAAAGCGCGCGUAGGCGGAUUGGAAAGUUGGGGGUGAAAUCCCGGGGCUCAACCCCGGAACUGCCUCCAAAACUCCCAGUCUAGAGUUCGAGAGAGGUGAGUGGAAUUCCGAGUGUAGAGGUGAAAUUCGUAGAUAUUCGGAGGAACACCAGUGGCGAAGGCGGCUCACUGGCUCGAUACUGACGCUGAGGUGCGAAAGUGUGGGGAGCAAACAGGAUUAGAUACCCUGGUAGUCCACACCGUAAACGAUGAAUGCCAGUCGUCGGGCAGUAUACUGUUCGGUGACACACCUAACGGAUUAAGCAUUCCGCCUGGGGAGUACGGUCGCAAGAUUAAAACUCAAAGGAAUUGACGG
rnacentral:rRNA from 1 species